rnacentral:rRNA from 1 species
GGAGGCCUUCGGGUAGCGGCGGACGGGUUAGUAACGCGUGGGAAUAUGCCCAAAGGUACGGAACAACAGCUGGAAACGGCUGCUAAUACCGUAUGUGCCCUACGGGGGAAAGAUUUAUCGCCUUUGGAUUAGCCCGCGUUGGAUUAGGUAGUUGGUGGGGUAAUGGCCUACCAAGCCUACGAUCCAUAGCUGGUUUGAGAGGAUGAUCAGCAACACUGGGACUGAGACACGGCCCAGGCUCCUACGGGAGGCAGCAGUGGGGAAUCUUGGACAAUGGGGGCACCCUGAUCCAGCCAUGCCGCGUGAGUGAUGAAGGCCUUAGGGUCGUAAAGCUCUUUCAGCUGGGAAGAUAAUGACGGUACCAGCAGAAGAAGCCCCGGCUAACUCCGUGCCAGUAGCCGCGGUAAUACGGAGGGGGCUAGCGUUGUUCGGAAUUACUGGGCGUAAAGCGCGCGUAGGCGGGCUGUUAAGUCGGGGGUGAAAUCCCGGGGCUCAACCCCGGAACUGCCUCCGAUACCGGCAGCCUAGAGAUCGAGAGAGGCGAGUGGAAUACCGAGUGUAGAGGUGAAAUUCGUAGAUAUUCGGUGGAACACCAGUGGCGAAGGCGGCUCGCUGGCUCGAUACUGACGCUGAGGUGCGAAAGCGUGGGG